CGGACGGGUGAGUAACGCGUGAGCAACCUGCCGUGAAGUGGGGGAUAGCUCGCCGAAAGGCGAAUUAAUACCGCAUGUGGCCAAGGAAGACAUCUUCCUGACGCCAAAGCCGGGGCAACCUGGCGCUUCUCGAGGGGCUCGCGGCCUAUCAGCUUGUUGGUGAGGUAACGGCUCACCAAGGCUAUGACGGGUAGCUGGUCUGAGAGGACGACCAGCCACACUGGAACUGAGACACGGUCCAGACACCUACGGGUGGCAGCAGUCGAGAAUUUUUCACAAUGGGGGAAACCCUGAUGGAGCGACGCCGCGUGGAGGAUGAAGGUUUUCGGAUUGUAAACUCCUGUCAUUAGAGAACAAGGCACUGAUAGUAUCUGAAGAGGAAGAGACGGCUAACUCUGUGCCAGCAGCCGCGGUAAUACAGAGGUCUCAAGCGUUGUUCGGAUUCAUUGGGCGUAAAGGGUGCGUAGGUGGCGAUGUAAGUCGGAUGUGAAAUCUCCAAGCUUAACUUGGAAACUGCAUUCGAUACUGCGUUGCUAGAGGACUGUAGAGGGCAUUGGAAUUCACGGUGUAGCAGUGAAAUGCGUAGAUAUCGUGAGGAAGACCAGUGGCGAAGGCGAAUGCCUGGGCAGUUCCUGACACUGAGGCACGAAGGCCAGGGGAGCAAAAGGGAUAGAUACCCCUGUAGUC
rnacentral:rRNA from 1 species